AUUGAACGCUGGCGGCAUGCCUUACACAUGCAAGUCGAACGGCAGCACGGGAGCAAUCCUGGUGGCGAGUGGCGAACGGGUGAGUAAUAUAUCGGAACGUGCCCAGUCGUGGGGAUAACGUAGCGAAAGCUACGCUAAUACCGCAUACGAUCUAUGGAUGAAAGCGGGGGAUCGCAAGACCUCGCGCGAUUGGAGCGGCCGAUAUCAGAUUAGGUAGUUGGGUGAGGUAAAGGCUCGCCAAGCCGACGAUCUGUAGCUGGUCUGAGAGGACGACCAGCCACACUGGGACUGAGACA
rnacentral:rRNA from 1 species